AAUCUUGCGCAAUGGGCGGAAGCCUGACGCAGCAACGCCGCGUGCGGGAAGAAGGCCUUCGGGUCGUAAACCGCUUUCAGGAGGGACGAAGCUUCCGGGGUUAAUAGCCCACGGGGUGACGGUACCUCCAGAAGAAGGACCGGCUAACUACGUGCCAGCAGCCGCGGUGAUACGUAGGGUCCUAGCGUUGUCCGGAAUCAUUGGGCGUAAAGCGCGUGUAGGCGGCUUGGUAGGUCCCGUGUUAAAGCCUGCGGCUCAACCGCAGAAUCGCACGGGAAACCACCUGGCUCGAGUUCGGAAGAGGAGAGCGGAAUUCCUGGUGUAGCGGUGAAAUGCGCAGAUAUCAGGAAGAACACCCGUGGCGAAGGCGGCUCUCUGGGACGAUACUGACGCUGAGACGCGAAAGCGUGGGGAGCGAACAGG
rnacentral:rRNA from 1 species